AGGGGUGGCAACUGGCAUAGCUCAUGAAAACUGCUGAAAGGUGGUGUGAAUUUCCAGGCGGAAGAACUCCAUUAUGUUGGAAAAUUGGAGAAGGUGGUUUUCCUGAGCUUCAUGUUGGAUAUCCUCCAUGGCAGCUGAGUAACUAAGACAAUGCGAUGGAAUGCACGGCUGAGAUGAGUACCAGAAAACUUUUGAACUAUGUUUGUGAGAGAUGAACAGAAGGAGGAACGUCAGCCUCCAUAUUGAUUGUUUCAAUUGAUUGAGGCCAGCAGAAAAUUGCAAAAGAAAUCUUCAUUUUGCCAAGAAGAUACUUUCAAUGAACUUCUGUCCUUUGUUAUGUGGGAGCUGGAAGCAAAACUGUCAGAGUCCUCUGUCUCAACUCAUCACCUUCCAAAUGAAUGGAGCGGAAAAGUUUCACAGCACUAGAAGCGGACCUUGAUGUUUCAUCUUAAUAUGAAGUUUCAGGAUCAUGUCAGGAAUCCGUCACUUCUCUCUGAAUUAUGUGCUGCUCACCGCUGACGCUCAUACCACCCCCUCGGCGAGGGCAACCUCAACGUCUUCAACUCACAGAACCCAUUGUUCUGUCCGUUCUUACCCAGCGCUGUCACUGCGGCCCUCUGCCUCCAGCCGGGAGGCCAGGGAAACCACUCCCAGGAGAGCUAUUUAUCGCGACGCUGGUUCGCUGUCAGCUUUGAAAUUCAUAUUAAUCCUGCUGAGAUCCCCGCC